rnacentral:rRNA from 1 species
UACAGAGGUCUCAAGCGUUGUUCGGAUUCAUUGGGCGUAAAGGGCGCGUAGGCGGCCUGAUAAGUAGGGGGUGAAAUCCUGCGGCUUAACCGCAGGGCUGCCUUCUAAACUGUCAGGCUCGAGCACAGUAGAGGCAGGUGGAAGUUCCCGGUGUAGCGGUGGAAUGCGUAGAGAGUCGGGAAGAACAUCAGUGGCGAAGGCGGCCUGCUGGGCUGUUGCUGACGCUGAG